GAGACACUGUUUUCGAAACGGCAGUGCCUCGACGUCAUUUUUGGCGUAUUUUGAGUUGGAAACGGGAAAACUCGAAAGCGCUCGGUCGUGAGAACGAGACAGUAAUGCAACGCGUACAAGCAGAGUUGAACUCUAUGCCGGUCCUGUACUAUAUAUAUUUUAAACAUAUUCGCAUAGUAGGUCGCUAAAGUUUAAAAAUGUGAUUAUAGUGGCUUGUUAAUCAUUUAGCAUUUGUAUACGUGCACGAGUGGAAAAAAAUGAAACGAAAUCGCUUGACGUGGCUUCAAGGAUACCGCCGAAAAGUCAACUGAAGUCUUCGAAAAUUUCUACCGGCUUACUGAGAUCUUAUUUCGUUUCAUUAAAAAUGAGAUCAUGUCAAUGGAUUAAAAUUCCAAAUUCAUAAAUCAA